rnacentral:lncRNA from 1 species
ACAGGUAAACUUCUUCGCUAUUUACUCUAGCAUCAGUUGUUUGGUUGCAACAUGUACUGACUAGCUUACUCUACACACUUCAGACCGAUUCAAGGCCAGCGACCUCCCCUGAUACUGUGCUCAUGGCUGCCUCAUGUCAAAGGUGCCCAUCUGAACAGACCGAUUCAAGGCCAGCGACCUCCCCUGAUACUGUGCUCAUGGCUGCCUCAUGUCAAAGGUGCCCAUCUGAACAGGUAAACUUCUUCGCUAUUUACUCUAGCAUCAGUUGUUUGGUUGCAACAUGUACUGACUAGCUUACUCUACACACUUCAGACCGAUUCAAGGCCAGCGACCUCCCCUGAUACUGUGCUCAUGGCUGCCUCAUGUCAAAGGUGCCCAUCUGAACAGACCGAUUCAAGGCCAGCGACCUCCCCUGAUACUGUGCUCAUGGCUGCCUCAUGUCAAAGGUGCCCAUCUGAACAGAUGGAUUCAAGCCAAGCAACCUCUCCUCCUGAUUCUGUGCUCAUGGCUCCCUCAAGUCAACG